GACGAACGCUGGCGGCGUGCUUAACACAUGCAAGUCGAACGGAAAGGCCCUGCUUUUGUGGGGUGCUCGAGUGGCGAACGGGUGAGUAACACGUGAGUAACCUGCCCUUGACUUUGGGAUAACUUCAGGAAACUGGGGCUAAUACCGGAUAGGAGCUCCUGCUGCAUGGUGGGGGUUGGACAGUUUCGGCGGUUGGGGAUGGACUGGCGGCUUAUCAGCUUGUUGGUGGGGUAGUGGCUUACCAAGGCUUUGACGGGUAGCCGGCCUGAGAGGGUGACCGGCCACAUUGGGACUGAGAUACGGCCCAGACUCCUACGGGAGGCAGCAGUGGGGAAUAUUGCACAAUGGGCGGAAGCCUGAUGCAGCAACGCCGCGUGCGGGAUGACGGCCUUCGGGUUGUAAACCGCUUUCGCCUGUGACGAAGCGUGAGUGACGGUAAUGGGUAAAGAAGCACCGGCUAACUACGUG
rnacentral:rRNA from 1 species